ACGCUUUAAGCAUCCCGCCUGGGGAGUACGGUCGCAAGAUUAAAACUCAAAUGAAUUGACGGGGGCCCGCACAAGCGGUGGAGCAUGUGGUUUAAUUCGACGCAACGCGAAGAACCUUACCUACUCUUGACAUCUACAGAAGAACGCAGAGAUGUGUUUGUGCCUUCGGGAACUGUAAGACAGGUGCUGCAUGGCUGUCGUCAGCUCGUGUUGUGAAAUGUUGGGUUAAGUCCCGCAACGAGCGCAACCCUUAUCCUUAGUUGCCAGCGAUUCGGUCGGGAACUCUAGGGAGACUGCCGGUGAUAAACCGGAGGAAGGUGGGGGCGACGUCAAGUCAUCAUGGCCCUUACGAGUAGGGCUACACACGUGCUACAAUGGUAUGUACAGAGGGAGGCAAGCUGGCGACAGUGAACGGAUCUCUUAAAGCAUAUCGUA
rnacentral:rRNA from 1 species